ACCGUGUCUGUCUCACAGCGACCUGACUGAAGGCUAGCAGAAGGGGCUGACUUAAGCUGACAGCUCCAAUGGGUUAUCCUUCGGUUUCACUGGAAGCCAUCUGAACUGCAAAAGCAUUUGAUCCCCAUUCAUUUGUUAGAGCAAUUUUUUUUUUCUUCACCAUUGACAACAAUGUUUGGAAGUGUCUCUCUGGUGCCCUGAGGAUUUUAUACUGCGGGGCAGUGCACCCAGGACUUGAGUUAAAAGACUCCAACAAACCUCAUGAUGGGGAGAAUAAAUGAGACAAGGUUGGAAAAACGUUGAAAAUUGUUGAGGCUGAGUAAAGGAGAUUCACUCGACUAAUCUGUCUACUAUUGUGUAUGUUACCUUUUUCAUAAUAAAAUGAAAUUUAAAAACAAAGCAACUAUGAUGUCUGCUUCUGGAAAGAUGUAGUUGGUAUACUUCUUCCUAUCCCUUCUAAGUACAGUUAAAAGCCCUUAACAUUGUCUAUAAAACAUAAGACUCUGAGGGGCACCUGGGUGGCUCAGUCAGUUAAGCAUUCGACUUUGGCUCAGGUCAUGAUCUCACAGUUCAUAGGCUCGAGCCCCGUGUCAGGCUCUGUGCUGACAGCUCAGGGCCUGGAGCCUGCUUUGGAUUCUGUGUCUCCAUCUCUCUCUUUGCCCCUCCGCUGCUCACGCAUGUGCGUCCUCUUUCUUUCAAAAAUAAACAUUAAAAAAUUAUUAAAAAAAAAAGAAGACUCUGAAAAGUAGACAGAAGAAGGCAGACUGGCUAUAGACCCCAGAAUCCAAGGACACAGCAGUGAACUCCCUGAGGCUUUGUUUUGUUUUUGUUUGUUCUGCCUCCUAUAUUCUAGACUGAGCUUCUGCAGAAGCUGAAAACCCGGAAAUGUCAAUGGGCAUAGGUUUAAAAAAAAGAAAAAAAAAAACUCCUGAAAAGCCUGCUGUCUCUAAGCACUGGACCAAGAAUAGGGCAACCUUGCAAGACAAAAAAAAUUUAAAUAAUUACUCAACUUCAACCAAACACCAAAGAAAAAAAGUGAAGUCCCACCCAUGCUAACAAAGGCCAAGUGGGGAAAUUAGACUUCUGUCCUUCCAGAGAAAGGCAAGGUGGGAGCCAGAAAUUCCAUUCCUACCAGGUGGUAACAAGCCCUCUCUGACACAGUGUCACUGGAUACUACAUGCGAAGCCUGGACUUCAUGCCCACCUGGCGAUAACAAGAAGUCCCUCCUCUUUUCUCCACUGGGGUGGUGUCAGAGAAGUCCCAGGGGAGAAGCAGUGUUUUCACCACCAUCCAGCAGUCACAAGCAUCCUUCCACAGAAGUGAAGUUAUAAGAAGAACUCUAACAAGGCAUCCCUGCUCCUUUCAGCCAGACUGGUAUAAACAGAAGCAUCACAGAGAGCCUGAACCCCCACCUUUCCAAGCAGUAAUGAGAAGACCCUUCCCACAGGUGUCAGUGAAAGCUGACUGAGGAGUCUCAACUUUCAUUCCACCUGGCAGCAAUGAAAUAGUAUUCCCCUUCCCAUACCAGAGCAGUGUUAGAAGGAGUAUGAUUAAAACAGAAGAUUUAAACAAGAUCCGGCGUCUCAUAACAUAAUACCUAAAAUGUCCAGGUUUAAAUCUAAAAAAAUCACUCAUAUCAAAAUCCAGGAAAACAUCCACUUGAAUGAGAAAAGACAACCAAAAGAUACCAACAACAAGAUGACAUAGAUUCAUAGGAUGCUUCCCCCCAAGCAAUUACAAACAGAAACAAAUAAAAGAAAAUAGAAACUCAUCAAAGAAAUAGAAGACAUAAAGAAACUAAAUGAAAUUUUUUAAACUAAAAAAUAGAAUAACUGAAAUUUAAAAAUUUAGUAGAUGGCCUCAACAGCAGAAUGGAAGAGACAGAGGAAAGAAUCAG